rnacentral:rRNA from 1 species
UNAGAUGUCCGGGGCCGCACGCGUGCCACACUGAAGGAAUCAGCGUGCUUUCUCCUGUUCCGAAAGGACUGGGCAAUCCGCUGAACCUCCUUCGUGAUGGGGAUAGGGGCUUGUAAUUCUUCACCUUGAACGAGGAAUUCCCAGUAAGCGCGAGUCAUAACCUCGCGUUGAUUAAGUCCCUGCCCCUUGUUCACACCGCCCGUCGCUACCUCCGAUUGAGCGAUUAAGUGAGGUCCUCGGACUGGCGCUCGGAACGGUCCCCGGGCCGCGGUGCCGGAAAGUGGAUCAAACUUGAACGCUUAGAGGAAGUAAAAGUCGUAACAAGGUUUUC